UGUAGCCAGACUCAUCGUUUUAAAGCAGAUGCACUCAUGUCACUCCAUGCUUCAGACUUCUUGGAAAUUCUGGUUUCUUACAGGCGGCUGAGUGAUUUGGUGGCAGUGGCCUUGCGGCAGAUGCAGAGAGGCAGAUCUUUGUGAAGGCCCUGACGGACAAGACCAUCACCAUCGAGGUUGAGCCCAGCAACACGACUGAGAAUGUCAAAGCCAAAACUCAGGACAAGGGGGGCAUCUAAUUUUUGUGGGCAAACAGCUGGAGGAUGGCGGCCCUCUCUCGGGCUGCAGAAUCUGGGAAGAGUCAACCUGUGCUUGGUGAGUCACCUGUGGGUGGCGCCACUGAGCCUUCCCUCAGCCAACUGGCCCAGAAAUGCGGCCAUGACAAGAUCAUCUGCCACAAGGGCUGGUCCUCCCUGCGUCCCUGUCGGGUCCCUGUGCUGUCCCAGUCGCUAGAACUGCUCCCCGAGAAGAAACUCAAAUAAGACCCCUCUACCAGCAAUCCCUUUGCCGGCUGCUCAGCCUCCUGCCCAGGUCCCAGGUUCCUGGGACCUCAGUAAAGUUUCCCUUUCAUUGACUGGGGGGGAAAAAUGAAAAAAAAAAUUGUUCACCCUGGAGAAUUAAAAAUGGUUAAGACUUA